UACGAAGGACCCGAGCGUUAUCCGGAUUCAUUGGGUUUAAAGGGUGCGUAGGCGGAUUGAUAAGUCAGUGGUGAAAGCCCAUCGCUUAACGAUGGAACUGCCAUUGAUACUGUCGAUCUUGAGUACAUCUGAAGUGGGCGGAAUGUGUCAUGUAGCGGUGAAAUGCUUAGAUAUGACCCGGAACACCGAUUGCGUAGGCAGCCCACUAAGCAACGAUUGACGCUGAGGCACGAAAGCGUGGGGAUCAAACAGG
rnacentral:rRNA from 1 species